AGCAGCCGCGGUAAUUCCAGCUCCAAUAGCGUAUAUUAAAGUUGUUGCAGUUAAAAAGCUCGUAGUUGAAUUUCGGGGUUAGCAGGUCGGUCGUGCCAUCGGUAUGAACUGGUCUCGCUGAUCCCUCCCUCUUGACGAACUGUGAUGCCAUUUAAUUUGGUGUCGCGAGGGAAUCGAGGACUUGUUU
rnacentral:rRNA from 1 species